rnacentral:rRNA from 1 species
GACGAACGCUGGCGGCGUGCCUAAUACAUGCAAGUAGAACGCUGAAGAGAGGAGCUUGCUCUUCUUGGAUGAGUUGCGAACGGGUGAGUAACGCGUAGGUAACCUGCCUGGUAGCGGGGGAUAACUAUUGGAAACGAUAGCUAAUACCGCAUAAAAUUGAUUAUUGCGUGAUAAUUAAUUGAAAGAUGCAACUGCAUCACUACCAGAUGGACCUGCGUUGUAUUAGCUAGUUGGUGAGGUAACGGCUCACCAAGGCGACGAUACAUAGCCGACCUGAGAGGGUGAUCGGCCACACUGGGACUGAGACACGGCCCAGACUCCUACGGGAGGCAGCAGUAGGGGAUCUUCGGCAAUGGGGGGAACCCUGACCGAGCAACGCCGCGUGAGUGAAGAAGGUUUUCGGAUCGUAAAGCUCUGUUGUAAGAGAAGAACGGGUGUGAGAGUGGAAAGUUCACACUGUGACGGUAUCUUACCAGAAAGGGACGGCUAACUACGUG